rnacentral:rRNA from 1 species
AUUGAACGCUGGCGGCAGGACUAACACAUGCAAGUCGAACGAGUGGCGGACGGGUGAGUAAUGUCUGGGAAACUGCCUGAUGGAGGGGGAUAACUACUGGAAACGGUAGCUAAUACCGCAUACCAUCAGAUGUGCCCAGAUGGGAUUAGCUAGUAGUUGGGGUAACGGCUCACCUAGGCGACGAUCCCUAGCUGGUCAGAGAGGAUGACAAGCCACACGGGAACUGAGACACGGUCCAGACUCCUACGGUAGGCAGCAGUGGGUAAUAUUGCACAAUGGGCGCAAGCCUGAUGCAGCCAUGCCGCGUGUAUGAAGAAGGCCUUCGGGUUGUAAAGUACUUUCAGCGGGGAGGCGUUACCCGCAGAAGAAGCACCGGCUAACUCCGUGCCAGCAGCCGCGGUAAUUC